rnacentral:rRNA from 1 species
AUGGGCGGAAUUGUUGCUAGACGGUUAAGUCUGAACCGUACUAAGGGCCCCAUCUUUGGAGGCAUCUAUGCUUCACGCCUAGCUGCAUAUUUUAACAUACCUAUUAGGCAUUCUGAAAAAGAAGAAAAAUUGCUGCCUAGUGCUUGUUUAGAUUAUAAGAGCAUGCUAGCGCAUGACUUUAUUGUUAAAAGCAAGGAAGGGGAGCUUAAAUAUAAAUUGUACUUUGAUAAACAUCACCCUGAGACUAUUACUUUGCCUGCUCCUUCUUUGUUUAACUUGUCUGCAGGUCCUUAUCUCGUUCCGUGGGCCCCGGAACUGGAACCACAAGAUGAGCCUCCACGACAACCUGUUUAUUCUUGGGAUCCGGAGGUGGCUGCCAGCCAGUGGCAGUCAGAGUCUUCUUCAUCAUAG